rnacentral:rRNA from 1 species
CCCUUAGAUGUUCUGGGCCGCACGCGUGCUACACUGAGUGGAUCAGCGGGUCAGGUUGCGCGAAAGUGUUUCCUAAUCUUUAAAUCCGCUCGUGAUGGGGAUUGACGGUUGCAAUUUUUGGUCUUCAACGAGGAAUUCCUAGUAAACGCAAGUCAUCAACUUGCAUUGAUUACGUCCCUGCCCUUUGUACACACCGCCCGUCGCACCUACCGAUUGAAUGGUCCGGUGAAGCCUCCGGAUUGGCGCGCACCUCGGUGCCGCCGAGAAGUUGGCUAAACCUUACCAUUUAGAGGAAGGUGAAGUCGUAACA